GAUGAACGCUGGCGGCGUGCCUAAUACAUGCAAGUCGAGCGAACAGAUAAGGAGCUUGCUCCUUUGACGUUAGCGGCGGACGGGUGAGUAACACGUGGGUAACCUACCUAUAAGACUGGAAUAACUCCGGGAAACCGGGGCUAAUGCCGGAUAACAUUUAGAACCGCAUGGUUCUAAAGUGAAAGAUGGUUUUGCUAUCACUUAUAGAUGGACCCGCGCCGUAUUAGCUAGUUGGUAAGGUAACGGCUUACCAAGGCAACGAUACGUAGCCGACCUGAGAGGGUGAUCGGCCACACUGGAACUGAGACACGGUCCAGACUCCUACGGGAGGCAGCAGUAGGGAAUCUUCCGCAAUGGGCGAAAGCCUAACGGAGCAACGCCGCGUGAGUGAUGAAGGUCUUCGGAUCGUAAAACUCUGUUAUUAGGGAAGAACAAAUGUGUAAGUAACUGUGCACGUCUUGACGGUACCUAAUCAGAAAGCCACGGCUAACUACGUG
rnacentral:rRNA from 1 species